rnacentral:miRNA from 1 species
GGGACUGACUGCUCGGGGACGGCCACGCCCCCGGAGCUCUCGGCCCAGCGCUGGAGGGGCCGGGGGCGGGG